GAUGAACGCUGGCGGCGUGCCUAAUACAUGCAAGUCGAGCGAACGGACGAGAAGCUUGCUGCUCUGACGUUAGCGGCGGACGGGAGAGUAACACGUGGAUAACCUCCCUAUAAGACUGGGAAAACUUCGGGAAACCGGCGAUAAUACCGGAUGAUAUUUUGCACCGCAUGGUUCAAUAGUGAGAGACGGUCUUGCUGUCACUUCUAGAUGGAUCCGCGCUGCAUUAGCUAGUUGGUACGGUCACGGCCUACCACGGCAACUAUGCGUAGCCGACCUGACAGGGGGAUCGCCCACCCGGGAAGGUGAACACGGUCCAGACUCCUACGGUAGGCAGCAGUAGGGAAGCGGCCGCAAUGGUCGAGAGCCUGACGGAGCAGCGCCGCGUGAGUGAUGAAGGUCUUCCGAUCGUAAUACUCUGUUAUGAGUGAAGAACAGAUGUGUAAGUAGCUGUGCACUUCUUGACGGUACUUGAUAAGAAAGCCACGGCUAACUACGUG
rnacentral:rRNA from 1 species